rnacentral:rRNA from 1 species
ACUUCGGCAUACAAAAAGCACGCCACCCCACCCCGGCCUCAACCAACGACCCACGCUUCCCGCGGAGACGACGAGACCCGUCGAUCGAUCGACCGAUCCAGACGACGACGAGUCUUCUCAGCGGGCACACACACAGAGCGCGCGGCGGUUGCCACCAUCGAGCAAAGCAAGAAGGAGGCCACCGCCACGCUCGAUCGACUCCGUCUCCUCUCCCGGGCUUUUCUCCCCGGGACCCGAUCGACCUAUUCUUAGGCGCCCCGCCGAAGAAAACCGCGGCGCCCCGGGUUUCGCUCGCAGGGCUAUGGCCGCGGCCGCGACGUCGUCCACCACACCCGCGGCAACCACCUCCACCACCACCACCACCACCUGCUGCUCCUCGUCGUCCUCGUCCUCGUCGUCCUCCUGCUCCGCCACCAGCCCCGGCCCGCACCGCAGGCGCCUCAACGACAUCGAGCGCGGCGACGACUGCUGCUGCGGGGGCGGCGACCCCUUCCUCGCCCUCGAGGACGGCGAGGGCGCCCACGGCCACGGCGUCCCCUUGCUGGCCGCCGGCGCGGCCUGCGGCGGGAGGGCGUCGCUGUUGGCGCGGAGGAGGCGCGCCGCGUGGCUCGCCUGGAUGAGGGCCGCCGUGCUGUGCCUGCUCGGCCUCGUCGCGGUCGUCGGCGUCCUGGGCUCCCAGUCCCAAGGCGGCCGGGGAGGCAGCGGCGCCGCGGCCGGCGCCGACGGCGAGGAGGGCGGCAGGCUCGUGCAGAGGGUGGAGGUGGCCGACGCCGACGUCAUGGGGUGGACGGAGGAGAACUUGACGGCACUCACGCGCCGCCCGCCCGAUCCUCCGAUACCCGAGAUAUGGAUGAAGCCAGACAGUGGGGGUUACAGCCAGUGCAUUGUACGCCCAAAGAAUCAGCGCAGGACUGACAAUGCGACUGUCGGUUAUCUGAUUGUCGACGCAAACGGCGGGCUAAACCAGAUGAGAAUGGGGAUCAGUGAUAUGGUUGCAGUGGCAAAGAUCAUGAACGCGACACUAGUAAUCCCCACUCUGGACCAUCAGUCAUUCUGGACUGAUCCAAGUGACUUCAAAGAUAUAUUCGACGUGGAUCACUUCAGGGAAACAUUGAAGGAGGACAUUGUGGUUGUAGAUUCCCUACCACCAGCUUAUAGGAGGGUGAAGCCCUACGCAAGAGCACCCACAUCCUGGUCCAGGGCUUCCUUUUACAGAGAUUUCUCAAAGAUACUGAAGAAGUACCAAGUAGUGAGAUUUACCCAUACGGAUUCACGGAUUGUCAACAACGGCCUCGCUCCUUCUCUCCAAAGGCUUCGAUGCCGUGCAAACUACAAAGCGCUUCAGUACAGGAAAGUGAUUGAAGAACUUGGUACUACCCUUGUUGAGAGACUGAAAAGGGGAUCGGACCAUUACAUCGCACUUCACUUAAGAUACGAGAAGGACAUGCUGGCUUUCACUGGCUGCAACCACAACCUGACACUUCAUGAGGCAGACGAGCUGACUGAUAUGCGACUCAAAGUGAGACACUGGAAGGAGAAGGAGAUCAACAGCGAGGAGAAGCGGCUCCAGGGCGGGUGUCCCAUGACGCCUCGCGAAGCUGCUGUGUUCCUCAAAGCCAUGGGAUAUCCUUCAAGCACUAAAAUUUACAUUGUGGCAGGUGAAAUUUACGGGGCACACAGCAUGGAUGCGCUGAAAGCAGAAUACCCAAACAUUUACACACACUACAGUCUAGCCACAGUAGAUGAACUAGAGCCGCUCGAGUUGUACCAGAACAGGCUAGCUGCUGUGGACUAUAUCGUGGCCCUGCAGAGCGAUGUCUUUGUGUAUACAUACGACGGAAAUAUGGCCAGGGCAGUUCAGGGUCACCGAAGAUUCGAAGGUUUCAGAAAAACUAUAAACCCCGACAGGCUGAAGUUUGUAGAGCUCAUUGACAAACUCGACGACGGUUCCAUGCCCUGGAAUGAAUUCCAAAGUGAAGUGAGGAAGCAUCAUGAGGAUAGACUUGGAGGUCCAUAUGACAGAUUACCUGGUGAGAGUCCAAGACAGGAGGAAUACUUCUACUCAAACCCUAUCCCGGGAUGCCUGUGCAAAAAGGUGCAGAGAGUAAAGUGAAGCAGGUUUAUCUCAAAGGGAAAUGGUUCGGUCUUCAGAGACGCUGCUGCUGGCUUGGUAGCAGGUGUAACACGGAUGGAGAUGACACUUCCUCCACAUGACAGGGGUGGCCGAAUAGAGAGGAUCCUUAGUUAACUGACAGAGACCAGCCAUUUUGAUUUUGAUUCUUUCCUAGGCUGACUACACAUGUAGUUGAGGGCAUGGGGCCAAGAAGUGCAUUGCUGAGAGGAAACUUUUUCCGAUGGAAAGAUGGAACGAGCGCAGAGAUGUCGAAGUACUUGAAGGAUCAUACCGGCAAUUAUAUAGGAACAGCUAAAGUGAAAACACGUUAGGUCGAGGUCAUACACUCUCCUCGUGCUCGUGAUGCUUCCAAUUCGUUGUAGCUAGCAGUGACAUUGAACACUGGGUGGGUUAGUAAGAAUAAUGUAUCAUGCUAUGUUUUCCAGCUGUAGAAAUCUGCUACCAGUGUAGACUGACAAUUGUCAAAAUACUUCUUAGUCUAGUUCAGAGCAAUAAAUUUUUUGUAAAUUUUAUAUAGGAUGUCACCUGACUGUAGCUGCUAGUAAAUUCCAUAAAAAAUAUUUAAAAAAAUGUCCGCAAAUGUGUGCUCCUUUAUACAGUCGAUGAUAUGGGCAGAUAUUAUCUCCUUCUUGAGGGUCUUAGAAAUUACAGAGAAAGGCAUAAAAAAUGUUGGAGGCAGACUAAUUGAACCAUAAACUUUCGACGCGAUCAGCCGCCCUGAAUACCUGGUUCUAUCCCCAAAUCGAUGUGAUAAUCUGGAUUGCGGAGGGGAUCUGGUCGCGACCGUCAACGAGGCGAACAUAAAGCAAGGACGGGGAAGAGAUAGACCUGAAGCUGUCGCCGUGCUCGCCAGCAUCAUCCGCCACCAUCCGCCGUGCAGCCGAAACCGCGUCGGCGUUGACCGAGCUGACUGGUUGCAGCCCCACGGGCCGCCGGCGUGACGCUUGGAGAGCAUUUUAUUCCUGGAUAAAUCCAAAUCCG